GAUGAACGCUAGCUACAGGCUUAACACAUGCAAGUCGAGGGACCGGCGCACGGGUGAGUAACACGUAUCCAACCUGCCCUUUACUCGGUGAUAGCCUUUCGAAAGGAAGAUUAAUACCCGAUAUAAAGGAUGGGGAUGCGUUCCAUUAGGUUGUUGGUGAGGUAACGGCUCACCAAGCCUUCGCUGGAUAGGGGUUCUGAGAGGAAGGUCCACCAGAAUGGAAAUGAGGCAAGGUCCAAAAUCCGAGCGGAGGGAGGAGUUAAGAAUAUUGGUCAAUGGGCGCUAGCCUGAAACAGCCCAGGAGCGGGAAGGGUGAAGGGUUAUGGGUCGUAAACCUCUUUUAUAUAAGAAUAUGUAUUAGAUGAAUAAGGAUCGGCUAACUCCGUGCCAUCAGCCGCGGUAAUAC
rnacentral:rRNA from 1 species